UAAAUAGAAUUUUAUAUAUCCGUUACAUUAUUAAUCUACUUUGAUCCUCUUCAUUAAAUAUCCAAUACCAUUAAUACAUACAUUAAAUACAUAAAAAAGAAGAAAUCAAAAGGGGGAAAAUAAAAUAAAAGAUCAAACGUAUCUAUAAAAAUGUCAUUUUGUAAAUUUGAAAUGUAGGAAACGAGUUUCUACGAAUUUACGAGAACGUAAUCCGCGUCGAUGCGGGGUAGCUGGUCGGGGAGGGUCGCGUUCUUAGAUGGUACCCCUUGGCACCGCUGCCCUCGCUACGCAGCGGUACCAGCUGGUACCGGCUCUUUCGCUCGUUUCAACCCUCCCUCUACUCUCCACCAACACGAAUGUGCACAAUUUACUGGUUCUGUGCUUUCACCUGUUCGAUCGAAGGUUUGUCAAAUAUAGAUAAUAUAGAUAAUCGA